AACGGCUGGAAACAGGCGCUAAUACCGGAUGGCCUUGAGGAGUCAAAGCCUCAAGUAAAGGCUACGGCGCUUCAGGAGGGGCCUGCGGCCUAUCAGCUAGUUGGUAGGGUAACGGCCUACCAAGGCAGAGACGGGUAGGGGGUGUGAGAGCACGGCCCCCCACAAUGGGACUGAGAGACGGCCCAUACUCCUACGGGAGGCAGCAGCAGGGAAUAUUGCGCAAUGGACGGAAGUCUGACGCAGCGACGCCGCGUGGAUGAUGAAGGCCUUCGGGUUGUAAAAUCCUUUUCAGGGGGAAGAGUGAGGACGGUACCCCUGGAAUAAGCGUCGGCUAACUACGUGCCAGCAGCCGCGGUAAGACGUAGGACGCGAGCGUUAUCCGGAUUUACUGGGCGUAAAGCGUCUGUAGGCGGAAGUGUAAGUUGGACGUGAAAGCUCCGGGCUCAACUCGGAGAGGCCGUUCAAUACUGCACAACUAGAGGCCAUCAGAGGGGCGUGGAAUUUCCGGUGUAGCGGUAAAAUGCGCAGAUAUCGGAAGGAACACCAGUGGCGAAGGCGGCGCCCUGGGGUGGGCCUGACGCUAAGAGACGAAAGCUAGGGGAGCGAACAGGAUUAGAGACCCUGGUAGUCCUAGCCCUAAACGAUG
rnacentral:rRNA from 1 species